rnacentral:rRNA from 1 species
CCUACGGGUGGCAGCAGUGGGGAAUAUUGGGCAAUGGAGGAAACUCUGACCCAGCAAUGCCGCGUGAAUGAAGAAGGUCUUCGGAUUGUAAAGUUCUUUAGUCAGGGAAGAAGUCAAUGACGGUACCUGAAGAAUAAGCUCCGGCUAACUACGUGCCAGCAGCCGCGGUAAUACGUAGGGAGCAAGCGUUGUUCGGAAUGACUGGGCGUAAAGGGUGCGUAGGCGGUUGUACAAGUUAGAAGUGAAAUACCCAGGGCUUAACUCGGGUGCUGCUUCUAAAACUGUAUGACUUGAGUGCAGUAGAGGUUAGUGGAAUUCCUAGUGUAGCGGUGAAAUGCGUAGAGAUCGGGAGGAACACCAGUGGCGAAGGCGGCCUACUGGGCUUUAACUGACGCUGAGGCACGAAAGCAUGGGUAGCAAACAGGAUUAGAUACCCCUGUAGUC